UUAAGCGACUAAGCGUACACGGUGGAUGCCCUGGCAGUCAGAGGCGAUGAAGGACGUGCUAAUCUGCGAUAAGCGUCGGUAAGGUGAUAUGAACCGUUAUAACCGGCGAUUUCCGAAUGGGGAAACCCAGUGUGAUUCGUCACACUAUCAUUAACUGAAUCCAUAGGUUAAUGAGGCGAACCGGGGGAACUGAAACAUCUAAGUACCCCGAGGAAAAGAAAUCAACCGAGAUUCCCCCAGUAGCGGCGAGCGAACGGGGAGCAGCCCAGAGCCUGAAUCAGUGUGUGUGUUAGUGGAAGCGUCUGGAAAGGCGCGCGAUACAGGGUGACAGCCCCGUACACAAAAAUGCACAUGCUGUGAGCUCGAUGAGUAGGGCGGGACACGUGGUAUCCUGUCUGAAUAUGGGGGGACCAUCCUCCAAGGCUAAAUACUCCUGACUGACCGAUAGUGAACCAGUACCGUGAGGGAAAGGCGAAAAGAACCCCGGCGAGGGGAGUGAAAAAGAACCUGAAACCGUGUACGUACAAGCAGUGGGAGCACAGAGCAAUCUGUGUGACUGCGUACCUUUUGUAUAAUGGGUCAGCGACUUAUAUUCUGUAGCAAGGUUAACCGAAUAGGGGAGCCGAAGGGAAACCGAGUCUUAACUGGGCGUUAAGUUGCAGGGUAUAGACCCGAAACCCGGUGAUCUAGCCAUGGGCAGGUUGAAGGUUGGGUAACACUAACUGGAGGACCGAACCGACUAAUGUUGAAAAAUUAGCGGAUGACUUGUGGCUGGGGGUGAAAGGCCAAUCAAACCGGGAGAUAGCUGGUUCUCCCCGAAAGCUAUUUAGGUAGCGCCUCGUGAAUUCAUCUCCGGGGGUAGAGCACUGUUUCGGCAAGGGGGUCAUCCCGACUUACCAACCCGAUGCAAACUGCGAAUACCGGAGAAUGUUAUCACGGGAGACACACGGCGGGUGCUAACGUCCGUCGUGAAGAGGGAAACAACCCAGACCGCCAGCUAAGGUCCCAAAGUCAUGGUUAAGUGGGAAACGAUGUGGGAAGGCCCAGACAGCCAGGAUGUUGGCUUAGAAGCAGCCAUCAUUUAAAGAAAGCGUAAUAGCUCACUGGUCGAGUCGGCCUGCGCGGAAGAUGUAACGGGGCUAAACCAUGCACCGAAGCUGCGGCAGCGACGCUGAUGCGUUGUUGGGUAGGGGAGCGUUCUGUAAGCCUGUGAAGGUGUGCUGUGAGGCAUGCUGGAGGUAUCAGAAGUGCGAAUGCUGACAUAAGUAACGAUAAAGCGGGUGAAAAGCCCGCUCGCCGGAAGACCAAGGGUUCCUGUCCAACGUUAAUCGGGGCAGGGUGAGUCGACCCCUAAGGCGAGGCCGAAAGGCGUAGUCGAUGGGAAACAGGUUAAUAUUCCUGUACUUGGUGUUACUGCGAAGGGGGGACGGAGAAGGCUAUGUUGGCCGGGCGACGGUUGUCCCGGUUUAAGCGUGUAGGCUGGUUUUCCAGGCAAAUCCGGAAAAUCAAGGCUGAGGCGUGAUGACGAGGCACUACGGUGCUGAAGCAACAAAUGCCCUGCUUCCAGGAAAAGCCUCUAAGCAUCAGGUAACAUCAAAUCGUACCCCAAACCGACACAGGUGGUCAGGUAGAGAAUACCAAGGCGCUUGAGAGAACUCGGGUGAAGGAACUAGGCAAAAUGGUGCCGUAACUUCGGGAGAAGGCACGCUGAUAUGUAGGUGAAGUCCCUCGCGGAUGGAGCUGAAAUCAGUCGAAGAUACCAGCUGGCUGCAACUGUUUAUUAAAAACACAGCACUGUGCAAACACGAAAGUGGACGUAUACGGUGUGACGCCUGCCCGGUGCCGGAAGGUUAAUUGAUGGGGUUAGCGCAAGCGAAGCUCUUGAUCGAAGCCCCGGUAAACGGCGGCCGUAACUAUAACGGUCCUAAGGUAGCGAAAUUCCUUGUCGGGUAAGUUCCGACCUGCACGAAUGGCGUAAUGAUGGCCAGGCUGUCUCCACCCGAGACUCAGUGAAAUUGAACUCGCUGUGAAGAUGCAGUGUACCCCGCGGCAAGACGGAAAGACCCCGUGAACCUUUACUAUAGCUUGACACUGAACAUUGAGCCUUGAUGUGUAGGAUAGGUGGGAGGCUUUGAAGUGUGGACGCCAGUCUGCAUGGAGCCGACCUUGAAAUACCACCCUUUAAUGUUUGAUGUUCUAACGUUGACCCGUGAUCCGGGUUGCGGACAGUGUCUGGUGGGUAGUUUGACUGGGGCGGUCUCCUCCUAAAGAGUAACGGAGGAGCACGAAGGUUGGCUAAUCCUGGUCGGACAUCAGGAGGUUAGUGCAAUGGCAUAAGCCAGCUUGACUGCGAGCGUGACGGCGCGAGCAGGUGCGAAAGCAGGUCAUAGUGAUCCGGUGGUUCUGAAUGGAAGGGCCAUCGCUCAACGGAUAAAAGGUACUCCGGGGAUAACAGGCUGAUACCGCCCAAGAGUUCAUAUCGACGGCGGUGUUUGGCACCUCGAUGUCGGCUCAUCACAUCCUGGGGCUGAAGUAGGUCCCAAGGGUAUGGCUGUUCGCCAUUUAAAGUGGUACGCGAGCUGGGUUUAGAACGUCGUGAGACAGUUCGGUCCCUAUCUGCCGUGGGCGCUGGAGAACUGAGGGGGGCUGCUCCUAGUACGAGAGGACCGGAGUGGACGCAUCACUGGUGUUCGGGUUGUCAUGCCAAUGGCACUGCCCGGUAGCUAAAUGCGGAAGAGAUAAGUGCUGAAAGCAUCUAAGCACGAAACUUGCCCCGAGAUGAGUUCUCCCUGACUCCUUGAGAGUCCUGAAGGAACGUUGAAGACGACGACGUUGAUAGGCCGGGUGUGUAAGCGCAGCGAUGCGUUGAGCUAACCGGUACUAAUGAACCGUGAGGCUUAACCUU
rnacentral:rRNA from 1 species